rnacentral:lncRNA from 1 species
UUUUUGCCAUAUUUUACUUUAGUUUGUCCAUCAGUGUGCCUUUCAUCUUUUAAAAAUACACAAUACUAAUGGCAGGUCCGCAGCUUUUUGUUUUCACUUGGAUCAAAUGGUUUUGACAGACAGAAAAAGUUUUGUACCAUUAUUUCCUUAACAGCUAUGGUAAUUUCUUGGAACUUGAUUUUCACUUGGGCAGUUAAGAAGACAGCUUGUUUUUUGCAUCAGUUUUUUUUUUUCCCCUCUUCCGUGUGUGUGGUGUGUGUGUGUGUGCACAGGUGCAUAUGAGCAGGACCAACCUUCAGGCUUAUGGCUUGUGUAACCUGCUUUUCAUUUAAUACAGAACAGAAUCCAAUGAUCAGCAACAUCAUUAAAAACUGACCCAGUUUCUUCUCAUGAGUCACUGAGACCUGGUGAACAAGAGCGGUCCAGUGUUCGCCUGCGGAGAUGCUACUGGGCUUCGUGGUUAAGAAGCACAGACGACUGGUGACCGCCCUGCUCCCACCUCACACUGCAUGCUGGAGCCACACCAAGGCUUCUCCUGGCAUCAUCUGAUGCCCCAGUGCCACGAGCCUGGGUCUGCUCCUAGGGGGACCAGGGGUCCUUCCGUCUCCUCAGUUGCCUUACGUGGGCUCACUCACUGA